ensembl:rRNA 5S_rRNA 5S ribosomal RNA
GUCUAUGACCAUACCACUCUGAACAUGCCCAGAUCUCGACUGAUCUCAGAAGCUAAGCAGGGUUAGUACUUGGGAGUGUUUUAUUCU